GAUGAACGCUGGCGGCGUGCCUAAUACAUGCAAGUCGAGCGAACGGACGAGAAGCUUGCUUCUCUGAUGUUAGCGGCGGACGGGUGAGUAACACGUGGAUAACCUACCUAUAAGACUGGGAUCACUUCGGGAAACCGGCGCUAAUCCCGGAUGAUAUUUUGAACCGCAUGGUUCAAUAGUGAAAGACGGUCUUGCUGUCACUUCUCGCUGGAUCCGCGCUGCAUUAGCUAGUUGGUAAGGUAACGGCUUACCAAGGCAACGAUGCAUAGCCGACCUGAGAGGGUGAUCGGCCACACUGGAACUGAGACACGGUACAGACGCCUACGGGAGGCAGCAGUAGGGAAUCUUCCGCAAUGGGCGAAAGACUGACGGAGCAACGCCGAGUGAGUGAUGAAGGUCUUCGGAUCGUAAAACUCUGUUAUUAGGGAAGAACAUAUGUGUAAGUAACUGUGCACAUCUUGACGGUACAUAAUCAGAAAGCCACGGCUAACUACGUG
rnacentral:rRNA from 1 species